GGGCCCGCACAAGCGGAGGAACAUGUGGUUUAAUUCGAUGAUACGCGAGGAACCUUACCCGGGCUUGAAUUGCAGAGGAAUAUGCCUAAGAGGGCAUAGCCGCAAGGUCUCUGUGAAGGUGCUGCAUGGUUGUCGUCAGCUCGUGCCGUGAGGUGUCGGCUUAAGUGCCAUAACGAGCGCAACCCUUAUCUUCAGUUACCAGCGAGUAAUGUCGGGGACUCUGGAGAGACUGCCGUCGUAAGAUGUGAGGAAGGUGGGGAUGACGUCAAAUCAGCACGGCCCUUACGUCCGGGGCUACACACGUGUUACAAUGGGGGGUACAGAAGGCAGCGGCCGCGCGAGCGGUAGCUAAUCCCGAAAGCCCCUCUCAGUUCGGACUGGAGUCUGCAACCCGACUCCACGAAGCUGGAUUCGCUAGUAAUCGCGCAUCAGCCAUGGCGCGGUGAAUACGUUCCCGGGCCUU
rnacentral:rRNA from 1 species